GUGCCAGCAGCCGCGGUAAUACGUAGGGACCAAGCGUUGUUCGGAUUUACUGGGCGUAAAGGGCGCGUAGGCGGUUUGUCAAGUCAGUUGUGAAAUCUCCGAGCUUAACUCGGAACGGUCAACUGAUACUGUCAAACUAGAGUACAGAAGGGGCAAUCGGAAUUCUUGGUGUAGCGGUGAAAUGCGUAGAUAUCAAGAGGAACACCUGAGGUGAAGACGGGUUGCUGGGCUGAUACUGACGCUGAGGCGCGAAAGCUAGGGUAGCAAACGGGAUUAGAUACCCCUGUAGUCC
rnacentral:rRNA from 1 species